rnacentral:rRNA from 1 species
UUUUAAUGGAGAGUUUGAUCCUGGCUCAGGACGAACGCUGGCGGCGUGCCUAAUACAUGCAAGUCGAGCGCGGGAAGCGGACGGAAACCCUCCGGGGUGGAAAUCCGUGGAACGAGCGGCGGACGGGUGAGUAACACGUGGGCAACCUGCCUGAAAGUCCGGGAUAACCCCGGGAAACCGGGGCUAAUACCGGAUGGGCCUGUCGACCGCCUGGUCGACGGGGAAAAGUGGGGAUCUU